rnacentral:rRNA from 1 species
CCUACGGGUGGCAGCAGUGAGGAAUAUUGGUCAAUGGACGAGACUCUGAACCAGCCACGUAGCGUGAAGGAUGACUGCCCUAUGGGUUGUAAACUUCUUUUAUAAAGGAAUAAAACGAGGCACGUGUGCCUUUUUGCAUGUACUUUAUGAAUCAGGCUCGGCUAACUCCGUGCCAGCAGCCGCGGUAAUACGGAGGGUCCGAGCGUUAUCCGGAUUUAUUGGGUGUAAAGGGAGCGUAGAUGGGUUGGUAAGUCAGUUGUGAAAGUUUGCGGCUCAACCGUAAAAUUGCAAUUGAUACUGGCAGUCUUGAGUACAGUUGAGGUAAGCGGAAUUCGUGGUGUAGCGGUGAAAUGCUUAGAUAUCACGAAGAACCCCGAUUGCGAAGGCAGCUUACUAAACUGUGACUGACAUUGAUGCUCGAAAGUGUGGGGAGCAAACAGGAUUAGAUACCCUUGUAGUC